rnacentral:rRNA from 1 species
AACCUCCGCAAUGUGAGAAAUCGCGACGGGGGGAUCCCAAGUGCCAUUCUUAACGGGAUGGCUUUUCAUUAGUGUAAAGAGCUUUUGGAAUAAGGGCUGGGCAAGACCGGUGCCAGCCGCCGCGGUAACACCGGCAGCUCUAGUGGUAGCAGUUUUUAUUGGGCCUAAAGCGUCCGUAGCCGGUUUAAUAAGUCUCUGGUGAAAUCCUGUAGCUUAACUGUGGGAAUUGCUGGAGAUACUAUUAGACUUGAGACCGGGAGAGGUUAGAGGUACUCCCAGGGUAGAGGUGAAAUUCUGUAAUCCCGGGAGGACCGCCUGUUGCGAAGGCGUCUAACUGGAACGGUUCUGACGGUGAGGGACGAAAGUUAGGGGCGCGAACCGGAUUAGAUACCCGGGUAGUCCUAACUGUAAACGAUGCGGACUUGGUGUUGGGGUGGCUUUGAGCUGCUCCAGUGCCGAAGGGAAGCUGUUAAGUCCGCCGCCUGGGAAGUACGGUCGCAAGACUGAAACUUAAAGGAAUU